GAAAGAUUUAUCGGGAAAGGAUUGGCCCGCGUUAGAUUAGAUAGUUGGUGGGGUAAUGGCCUACCAAGUCUACGAUCUAUAGCUGGUUUUAGAGGAUGAUCAGCAACACUGGGACUGAGACACGGCCCAGACUCGUACGGGAGGCAGCAGUGGGGAAUCUUAGACAAUGGGCGAAAGCCUGAUCUAGCCAUGCCGCGUGAGUGAUGAAGGUCUUAGGAUCGUAAAGCUCUUUCGCUAGGGAUGAUAAUGACAGUACCUAGUAAAGAAGCCCCGGCUAACUCCGUGCCAGCAGCCGCGGUAAUACGGAGGGGGCUAGCGUUGUUCGGAAUUACUGGGCGUAAAGCGUACGUAGGCGGAUCAGAAAGUAUGGGGUGAAAUCCCAGGGCUCAACCCUGGAACUGCCUCAUAAACUCCUGGUCUUGAGUUCGAGAGAGGUGAGUGGAAUUGCGAGUGUAGAGGUGAAAUUCGUAGAUAUU
rnacentral:rRNA from 1 species